UGCUGCAAGCAAAGGUCUCUAGCUGGUCUGUUACAACAAUGUGAUCAUUUUUCUUUUCCCGAACAAUCGAACAGCAAGUUUUCUGAACAAGAUGGUGCAAACCUGCGAAAACGAUAUUUAUCGUUACCGAAGUUCACACAUGUCACGUCGUGGUCAUAAAGAACAGAUAAUACUGCUUUUCGCUGUGGUUGCCUUCGUUGUAUUUGGAACGACCUCCGCGCGGCCACACGCUUAUGGUUGUGGGCCGAACCAGGAAGCAAGGUGUAGUGGCAAAUGCAAUACCUGCGAAGCUUACUGCGGCAGUGACGCAAUGAACGCCAAUCAACAGAGGCCGUCACGGUGCCGUCUUCGUUCAGGUGUGAUAUGUGUCUGCACCAUCGGCUUCUACCGAAAAAAACCUGGUGGUUGUCAUCCGUGCGUCCGCAUCGACAUAUGCAAUUAGCGCACUCCACCUGUAACAAAAUCCUGCCCCCAUGAUCUUAUCGCAACUUUGGUUAUUUGGUCUUCGUAACAUUCCUUGGAAGUCGCAAGGUGGUAAUUGCGCGCUGCUUCGCAACGACCAAGCUGUCGCAAUUUUAUCGUACCAACACACAGCAGUGCAAUAAAUAUACCAACUAUUUUUCAA